rnacentral:rRNA from 1 species
AUGCAGAUGAUUCUGGGAGCCAAAACGCCUCACUCGGUUGGCACCCACCAAAAAAGCAAGAGAUCUCAAAAAGCAACCUCGGCUGACCCAGAGGAAUUCCUCUCCCACACGGCCAAAGUGUGUUACGCAUUCCGGUUUUCAACUGCGUGCGCCGGGGAAAGCGCGGACACGCGCUCGCCCCGACGCCCCGUUCGUCCGGAAGCUUCCCGCCUUUCUUCCUCCGGCCCGGCGCCGGUGGCCCACUACCAGAGCGCAGGAUCCACUGCACCCUCCUCCUUCAACUUUACCCUUGACCGCCGCCGUGGAACGGAGUUGAAGCCCCCCUCCACCAACCGGGUCGCCGCCCAGCCAGCCCGCUAUAUAUCCUCUCGCCCCGCAACCACCACCUUUCAGCGAACCAAGAAGCUGGCAUACAGCGUGUUUUCGGAUUCGUGA